AUUGAACGCUGGCGGCAUGCUUUACACAUGCAAGUCGAACGGCAGCGCGGGCUUCGGCCUGGCGGCGAGUGGCGAACGGGUGAGUAAUACAUCGGAACGUGCCCAGUAGUGGGGGAUAGCUCGGCGAAAGCCGGAUUAAUACCGCAUACGACCUGAGGGUGAAAGCGGGGGAUCUUCGGACCUCGCGCUAUUGGAGCGGCCGAUGGCAGAUUAGCUAGUUGGUGGGGUAAAGGCCUACCAAGGCGACGAUCUGUAGCUGGUCUGAGAGGACGACCAGCCACACUGGGACUGAGGCACGGCCCAGACUCCUACGGGAGGCAGCAGUGGGGAAUUUUGGACAAUGGGCGAAAGCCUGAUCCAGCAAUGCCGCGUGUGUGAUGAAGGCCUUCGGGUUGUAAAGCACUUUUGGCGGGAACGAAAAGGACUAUGCCAAUACCACGGUUCGAUGACGGUACCCGCAGAAUAAGCACCGGCUAACUACGUG
rnacentral:rRNA from 1 species